rnacentral:rRNA from 1 species
GUAACAAGGUCUCCGUUGGUGAACCAGCGGAGGGAUCAUUACCGAGUUUACAACUCCCAAACCCAAUGUGAACGUUACCAAACUGUUGCCUCGGCGGGAUCUCUGCCCCGGGUGCGUCGCAGCCCCGGACCAAGGCGCCCGCCGGAGGACCAACCUAAAACUCUUAUUGUAUACCCCCUCGCGGGUUUUUUUAUAAUCUGAGCCUUCUCGGCGCCUCUCGUAGGCGUUUCGAAAAUGAAUCAAAACUUUCAACAACGGAUCUCUUGGUUCUGGCAUCGAUGAAGAACGCAGCGAAAUGCGAUAAGUAAUGUGAAUUGCAGAAUUCAGUGAAUCAUCGAAUCUUUGAACGCACAUUGCGCCCGCCAGUAUUCUGGCGGGCAUGCCUGUCCGAGCGUCAUUUCAACCCUCGAACCCCUCCGGGGGGUCGGCGUUGGGGAUCGGCCCUCCCUUAGCGGGUGGCCGUCUCCGAAAUACAGUGGCGGUCUCGCCGCAGCCUCUCCUGCGCAGUAGUUUGCACACUCGCAUCGGGAGCGCGGCGCGUCCACAGCCGUUAAACACCCAACUUCUGAAAUGUGACCUCGAACC